rnacentral:rRNA from 1 species
GGCGAGCGGCGRACGGGUGAGUAAAGUCUGGGGAUCUGGCUUAUGGAGGGGGAUAACCAUUGGAAACGGUGGCUAAUACCGCAUGAUGUCGCAAGACCAAAGUGGGGGACUUUAGGGCCUCACGCCAUAAGAUGUUGGGUAAUGAGAUUAGCUAGUAGGUGGGGUAAUGGCGUACCUAGGCGACGAUCUCUAGCUGGUCAGAGAGGAUGACCAGCCACACUGGAACUGAGAAACGGUCCAGACUCCUACGGGAGGCAGCAGUGGGGAAUAUUGCACAAUGGGCGGAAGCCUGAUGCAGCCAUGCCCCGUGUGUGAGGGAGGCCUUAGGGUUGUAAAGCACUUUCAGCGGGGAGGAAGGCGGUAAGAGUAAUAUGCUUAUCGAUUGACGUUACCCGCAAAAGAAGCACCGGCUAACUCCGUGCCAGCAGCCGCGGUAUUACGGAGGGUGCGAGCGUUAAUCGGAAUAACUGGGCGUAAAGGGCAUGUAGGCGGUAAGUUAAGUCAGAUGUGAAAUCCCCGAGCUUAACUUGGGAACGGCAUUUGAGACUGGCAGGCUAGAGUUUUGUAGAGGGGGGUAGAAUUCCAGGUGUAGCGCACUAUUCGGUAGAGAUCGGGAGGAAUACCGGUGGCGAAGGCGGCCCCCUGGACAAGGACUGACGCUGAGGUGCGAAAGCGUGGGUAGCAAACAGGAUUAGAUACCCUGGUAGUCCACGCUGUAAACGAUGUCGAUUUGGAGGUUUUUGCCUAAAAGGUAAGCGUCCGAAGCUAACGCGAUAAAUCGACCGCCUGGGGAGUACGGCCGCAAGGUUAAAACUCAAAUGAAUUGACGGGGGCCCGCACAAGCGGUGGAGCAUGUGGUUUAAUUCGUUGCAACGCGAAGAACCUUACCUACUCUUGACAUCCACGGAAUUGAGCAGAGAUGCUUAAGUGCCUUCACAACCGGUGAGACAGGUGCUGCAUGGCUGUCGUCAGCUCGGGUUGUGAAAUGUUGGGUUAAGUCCCGCAACGAGCGCAACCCUUGUCCUUUGUUGCCAGCACAGUAUGGUGCCAACUCAAAGGAGACUGCCGGUGAUAAACCGGAGGAAGGUGGGGAUGGGGUAAGGUCAUCAUGGCCCUUACGAGUAGGGCUACACACGUGCUACAAUGGCGCAUACAAAGGGCGGCGAGCGUGCGAACGUAAGCGAACCUCAUAAAGUGCGUCGUAGUCGGGAUUGGAGUCUGCAACUUAAGGCCCUGAAGUCGGAAUCGCUAGUA